rnacentral:rRNA from 1 species
AGCGGAGGAAAAGAAACUAACAAGGAUUCCCCUAGUAACGGCGAGUGAAGCGGGAAGAGCUCAAAUUUGAAAUCUGGUAGCCUUCGGUUGCCCGAGUUGUAAUCUAGAGAAGUGUUUUCCGUGCCGGCCCAUGUACAAGUCCCUUGGAACAGGGCGUCAUAGAGGGUGAGAAUCCCGUCCUUGACAUGGACCCCCGGUGCUUUGUGAUACACUUUCAACGAGUCGAGUUGUUUGGGAAUGCAGCUCAAAAUGGGUGGUGAAUUCCAUCUAAAGCUAAAUAUUGGCGAGAGACCGAUAGCGAACAAGUACCGUGAGGGAAAGAUGAAAAGCACUUUGGAAAGAGAGUUAAACAGUACGUGAAAUUGUUGAAAGGGAAACGAUUGAAGUCAGUCAUGCUCUUAGGAUUCAGCCGUUCUGCGGUGUAUUUCCUUUGAGUGGGGUCAACAUCAGUUUUGAUCGAUGGAUAAAGGCACGAGGAAGGUAGCACUCUCGGGUGAACUUAUAGCCUCGCGUCAUAUACAUUGAUUGGGACUGAGGAACGCAGCAUGCCUUUAUGGCCGGGAUUCGUCCACGUACAUGCUUAGGAUGUUGACAUAAUGGC